rnacentral:rRNA from 1 species
AUGUACCAAGCCAUCCCCUACAGCAGCACCCGGCCCUGGGCCCGCCCGUCGCCGGCGGCGGAGGCGGCCGUCGCCGUCAAGACGGAGACCACGGAGGCGGCGGCGUCCCGGGAGGACGCGGCGGGGGUUGAGAGGGCGGUGUCGGAGAGCCCGGUCGUGGUGGUGGGGAGGCGGGCCUGCUGCCUCACCCACGUGGUGAAGCGGCUGCUGCAGGGGCUCGGGGUCAACCCCGCCGUGCACGAGGUCGCCGACGAGGCGGCGCUCGCCGGGGUCGUGCCGGACGGCGGGGAGGCUGCGCUCCCGGUGGUGUUCGUCGGGGGGAAGCUCCUCGGCGGCCUCGAUCGCCUCAUGGCCGUCCACAUCUCCGGCGAGCUCGUGCCCAUCCUCAAGAAGGCCGGCGCCCUCUGGCUCUGA